UACGGGGGGAGCAAGCGUUGUUCGGAUUUACUGGGCGUAAAGGGCGCGUAGGCGGCCACCGCAAGUCAAUUGUGAAAUCUCCGGGCUUAACUCGGAAAGGUCAACUGAUACUGCGGGGCUAGAGUGCGGAAGGGGCAACUGGAAUUCUCGGUGUAGCGGUGAAAUGCGUAGAUAUCGAGAGGAACACCUGCGGCGAAAGCGGCGCGCUGGAUCUCUACUGACGCUGAGGCGCGAAAGCCAGGGGAGCAAACGGG
rnacentral:rRNA from 1 species